rnacentral:rRNA from 1 species
UACGGGGGGGGCAAGCGUUGUUCGGAAUUACUGGGCGUAAAGGGCUCGUAGGCGGCCAACUAAGUCAGACGUGAAAUCCCUCGGCUUAACCGGGGAACUGCGUCUGAUACUGGAUGGCUUGAGUUCGGGAGAGGGAUGCGGAAUUCCUGGUGUAGCGGUGAAAUGCGCAGAUAUCAGGAGGAACACCGGUGGCGAAGGCGGAUCUCUGGGCCAUUACUGACGCUGAGGCACGAAAGCGUGGGUAGCAAACAGG